UACGGAGGGGGCUAGCGUUGUUCGGAAUUACUGGGCGUAAAGCGCACGUAGGCGGCGAUCUAAGUCAGAGGUGAAAGCCCGGGGCUCAACCCCGGAACUGCCUUUGAUACUGGGGAUCUCGAGCCCGGGAGAGGUGAGUGGAACUGCGAGUGUAGAGGUGAAAUUCGUAGAUAUUCGCAAGAACACCAGUGGCGAAGGCGGCUCACUGGCCCGGUACUGACGCUGAGGUGCGAAAGCGUGGGGAGCAAGCAGGAUUAGAUACCCUUGUAGU
rnacentral:rRNA from 1 species